rnacentral:antisense_RNA from 1 species
GGUGAAAUUUAUUUAAAACGUCAACCCACUAUCAACUCAGAAAACAGGGUUAAAGUUAAACAAAAUAACAAACCUUAAAACCUAUUAAAAAUCUAGUAAUUAAUGGUGCGCCCGAGACGAUUCGAACGUCCGACCCCUGCCU